rnacentral:rRNA from 1 species
GAUGAACGCCGGCGGCGUGCCUAAUACAUGCAAGUCGAGCGAACAGACGAGGAGCUUGCUCCUCUGACGUUAGCGGCGGACGGGUGAGUAACACGUGGAUAACCUACCUAUAAGACUGGGAUAACUUCGGGAAACCGGAGCUAAUACCGGAUAAUAUAUUGAACCGCAUGGUUCAAUAGUGAAAGACGGUUUUGCUGUCACUUAUAGAUGGAUCCGCGCCGCAUUAGCUAGUUGGUAAGGUAACGGCUUACCAAGGCGACGAUGCGUAGCCGACCUGAGAGGGUAGCGGCCCACACGGAGACUAAGCCACGCUCCAGCCCCCUGCGGAAGGGGCAAGAGGGGAUUCUCCCACAGGGGGGGAAACCCUGACGGAGAAACGCCGGGUGAGUAAUAAGGGUGUUGGGAUCUAAAAACUUUUUUUUGAGGAAAAAAAAAAUGUGAAAGUAACUAUGCACUUCUUGAGGUUACCUAAUAAGAAAGCCACGGCUAACUACGUG